CGGGACCUUGGGCGCUUCUGCUUGAGCCCCGCCUCCAGCUCUUUUCCAUUUGUCUUGCCUGGGCUGUUGAGAAAGCCACGCCCACUUCCCCCGUCAGUCACGCGGCUGGACCAAUGGCGGCCUCGUGUCCGCCGGCGCGGGGCGGGGCCCGGUUCUCCGACUGCCGCGCGGGUCUGGGUGAGAGGCUGAGGUGCCGGGCUUUGGGCACAGACACCGGGCGCCGGGUCGGGAAGAUGCGGGCUCCGUUGUCCGGGCCACUGUCGGGGCGGCGGUGCGCAGAGGAAGCUGCAGCCGCCGGCGCCCUCGCUCUGUGACCGACCUUACUGAAAUGGUGCCACAGUUGCUGUGCAAAGAAAUUCUGGGGUGAAGAAGCAUGCAAAAAUCUACCUUCUGUGGUUCAAGAUGUGAAGAAUGUUCUACAGAGACACCGAUUAUCAGAAAGUGGCCACAUGGUUACAUUUCAACUUGAAUUUCAGAUUCUGGAAAUGCAGAGCUCACGUCCCAGGAGAACCAACCCCAGAGGCCAGCCUCUGUCUGGAGAAACUACAUCAGUACUUGAUCACAAUGCCAGUGGAGAUUAUUCCAGAGGACCACAAAGCUCUCUCACCAGAUCAAGGUGUGGAACCAACUUCAGAACCUGAGCAAGCUCCUUUAGAGGAUGCAGAACUCAAAUUAGCUCAUUCAGAGGCUGUGGAGUUCGAGACAGCUCCUGAAAAGGACUCCAGAGCUGCAGAAAGCAAUGAUGUGGUUCCAUCAUGAGAGUCUCACCUGUGGCCAUGGAAAAGAAUGAAAAUAAAUGAGCCUCCAUGUUGGAUGAGCCCUGCAGUGAGCUGAAAUUCAAGGCAAGAAUUCUCAAGAAUUUGGUGACCAACCUCUUGAACUGUCCCUCAGAUCUAGCUACAGCUCCAAUUUUGGCAUUACAACCAAAUCCAGAGCUUGAGCCAAAUUCCUCAGGAGCACCAGAGGUGGAGCUGCCUCCUGUGAAGACCACAGAAUGUGAGAAGUUUGGUCCCUAGGAGAGCCUUCAAGGACUUCAUCCUUGGACAUGGAACCUGACAUAGUCAGGGAGAACCAUUUUUCUUGGCUUCCCCUCAUGACCUGGUGAAUCACCACUUCAUCCUGAUGG